AAGGGGACUCCCACAAAAUAACUGGGGAAUUACCGUUGGGCAUUUAUAUUGACAACUUUACUUGUGUUGUACAUCUGAUGAAACAAGAAAUUCGUCUGCAAAAUCUGAAAGUUUGCAAUUAUUUAUUGUAAUUGUCUUUAAUUACCAUGAAGGAAUUUAUUGUUGAUUCAAUUGCUGCUUAUGGUGAGGAAGACGUCAAGCAGCAAUUUAAGAAGAUAGUGCUUUACAUAAAGAAAAGAUCAUACAUCAUACACAUUAUUUCCGUGGACAUUCAACGUCAUUAUAUUGUCAAAAUCGUGGUCGAAAAGAUUGCGCUAAAUUUUUUAAGCAAAGGAACACCAAAAGCGCUGAAAGUUUUCGAGAAAUGAUCGAGGAAGAUGAAAGGAGUCAAGACGGAGGUCGUUAAUUAAUUACAAUAUUUCUAGAAAAAAUGCGUGAUCCGAUAUCAGGAUUAUACAUAAUGCAGUAAAACGUUCACUGAUAUAAAAAAUUUUUAUUGAACAAGCUUUUGCAUGGUUCUAAAGUUUUUCUAAAGUUUUUCAGAGGAAACUACAGAACACAAAAAACUUUAGAAUCAUGGCACACUGGAAUAACUAAAGCAGCUGAUAACAACUCAAGAACACUUCCACCACAUUAUAAUAUUCUUUUAAAAAAACAGUGACUAUACCUAUCACAUAGAACAUUGUAUCAUAUUACUUUAUUUCCGCUUUUUUAUUUAUGUGUUUAUAUCGUGUUACACCCCAUUCGUUUCUUUUAUAACCCGUCGAAAGCUGUAGACAGACAGCCGAAAGCUUGUUCGAUAAAAAAAUUUUAUAUCAGUGAACGCUUUACUGCAUUACAAUGUUUUUGUUAAAAAUAUUGUAUUAUUGUCAAUUCUAAUUGCUCACAUGUUUAUAGUGUUUUUCAGAAAAAAAAAACAUAUUGAAACUCAUGGAAUUGGUGACAAAUACAAAUUACAAAAAAUUACAAAUACUUCUCGAAAGAGAAGAAGAUAUCUGUAUGCUGAUGAAAGAAAUGGAAAUCUUAAAGAAGUGGUACCACCACACUAUUCAGGGCUUUCAAUUUCAAUUAUUUCUGUAUUUAUAUAUACGUGCUUCGUCACUAUAAAACAUUUGGUUGCACUUGCAAUCUUCAUCUUUGCAUUUCUCUAAGGCUGAAGCUAAUCGCUGACCCAGUUUACUCUGGGCGCGUGUGCUUAGGUUAUUUAAGAAUUUAUAUUCACAAUGACUUUCACAUGUCACAGAUUAGAUGCUUCUCACACCUGUCAUUUUUUACCAUUCCUGUAUCACAAUAAAAGUUUGUUUCAGGUGGAUAUAGUGAACUUAAUGCUGAAGAGACUAGAGAUGACAGGCUUCCAAGCCAAAUAAUUGAACUGAUGACGGUCGACCGUUUAACUGAACAAAAUUUUAGCUUGGUCGUUGAGGAAAUUGUGGAAGAACACGACACGUUAAAUUACAGUGAUGAAGAUAGAAGCGGGACGUUGGAUCAGAGAGUGAUGAAUGAUGAAAACGAGUUGUACGUUUCGUCCAUUGAAAGCUUCUGGGAUGACUGGGAGCUUCCUUCGAGAUUGUCAGCUACGUCAGAACUUUGAGGACCAUUGACCUUUGGCAAACAUUGUUGUAAAAUAGUGCAAAUAAAAACACUGCAAUCAACACUAAAAUGUCUUCAAGUAGAUUUGCAUUCGUGAAGAAAAUUGAUGACUUUGAAACAGUUUCAAAAACGUGAACAUAUGUUGUUAGAUAGAUAGAUGGAUAGAUAGAUGAUUUAUUUCUUAAAACUGGCAGCCAUAUUGCUGAAAUACGUUUAAGAUUACAUAUAAUACAUACAUAAAUAAAUUAACUAAAUUGCAUCUUCAAUGAGUUAUAAGUUAUAAACUAUUUCUAAAACGUUUGGUAUUAAAGUUAGUUUUAAAUGAA